rnacentral:rRNA from 1 species
CUCAGUUCGGAUUGGAGGCUGAAACCCGCCUCCAUGAAGUUGGAUUCGCUAGUAAUCGCGCCUCAGCCAUGGCGCGGUGAAUACGUUCCCGGGCCCUUGUACACACCGCCCGUCAAGCCAUGGGAGCCGGGGGUACCUGAAGUUCGUGACCGCAAGGAGCACCUAGGGCAAAACUGGUGACUGGGGCUAAGUCGUAACAAGGUACC